rnacentral:lncRNA from 9 species
CAAUGGGAACUCCUAUUUGUUGAAAUUAUGAUUAAGCUGAUAAUGCCUGCAUUUUAACUGACAGUUAAACUACUACAGUUUCCAGUAUUUCAAUUCAUCCUCUAAGUAUUUGAGUACUUUCUAUGUAAGUACUUAUACUAUACACAAAGGAAAAUAAUGGACUAAUAGAAUCUUCAGCCUCGAAGUAUUAGAGACAGUUGGAGUCAAGACAAAAUUGCAGGAAAAAACUUCGCACAUCGUUAUUCAGGCAGGUCAGUCAGUGUUAACGUGGGCGAUACCAAUGGCAGGCCGUGCAGGAGUUUCCCUAGGAGCAGAGAUCAGUGAGGGUUGGAUGAAUUACAGAAUUUCAGAAGAGCCUGAGGAUCAACAGGAUUUAGGUGGUCUUAGGAGGGGCAUCUUCCAGGAGGAGAAGCAGCACUGAAUCCAGACCUGAAGGCCCAGUAAUGUGAACUAGAGAAAGCCACUGGGUUGAAAUCAAAAUGCGUAGACUUUUGUCUCCAUUCAUUUGGUUCUUGACCACUGUUUCUAGCCAUUGUCGUAAUAUACUAACAACAUCUAAUCUUGGGGAAAGCAUUUUUCUUUUUUUUCUUCCUAAGUAAAUUUAUUGACAAUAUGUACCAUAUUUUGUGAUUAUUAAGCUUUGGCAUGGAAAAUGAAGCUUUCUACUGCCAAGGAACUAGGGGGAGCUUUUUUACAUAUAAUUGUUUUACAUAAACAAUUAUUUAAAUGAUAAUUUAUGAGAUUUUAAAUGUGCAUGGCAUUCUCAACACCUACUGGAUAUUAAGUUAAUGUAAUAUUUUUAACAAUCAUCUAAGUUUUGCAUUGAUAAUAGAUGAAGAGUAGAUCUUGAACUUGAUUUUUUAAUUGGAAACUAUAUUUCUUUUUUUAACGUUUGUUUAACAUUUUUUAAAAUUAUAGUUGAUUUACAAUGUUCUGUCAGUUUCUGCUGUACAGCAAAGUGACCCGGUCAUACAUAUAUAUAUU